rnacentral:rRNA from 1 species
UGAGUAAUGUCUGGGAAACUGCCCGAUGGAGGGGGAUAACGACUGGAAACGGUAGCUAAUACCGCAUAACGUCUUCGGACCAAAGUGGGGGACCUUCGGGCCUCACACCAUCGGAUGUGCCCAGAUGGGAUUAGCUAGUAGGUGGGGUAACGGCUCACCUAGGCGACGAUCCCUAGCUGGUCUGAGAGGAUGACCAGCCACACUGGAACUGAGACACGGUCCAGACUCCUACGGGAGGCAGCAGUGGGGAAUAUUGCACAAUGGGCGCAAGCCUGAUGCAGCCAUGCCGCGUGUAUGAAGAAGGCCUUCGGGUUGUAAAGUACUUUCAGUGGGGAGGAAGGCGUUAAGGUUAAUAACCUUGGCGAUUGACGUUACCCGCAGAAGAAGCACCGGCUAACUCCGUGCCAGCAGCCGCGGUAAUACGGAGGGUGCAAGCGUUAAUCGGAAUUACUGGGCGUAAAGCGCACGCAGGCGGUCUGUCAAGUCGGAUGUGAAAUCCCCGGG